rnacentral:tRNA from 1 species
UCCCUGGUGGUCUCAUGGUUAAGACUCUGCACUUUCACUCAGUGGGCGCAGGUUUGACCCCUGGUCAGGGAA